rnacentral:tRNA from 1 species
CAGGAUUGUAGUUUAGACAAAACAUUUGCAUUGGAAGCUAAAAAUCAGGUAGAUAUCUGCAUCCUGA